AAGUCCGUAAAAAUACAGUACAGUAUACCGUAAUAAUUUAAAGGAAUUGUCCGUAUUUUCUUUUUACAGUCAUUUCUCCGUUAUUUUUUAAUUACGCUUUGCAUUGUGGGUACAAUAAGCUCAGUCUACAAUCGGCGCGAAACCAUAGACAGUAAGCGCGAAACCAGUGCUUUCGCAAGUGCCAUUAUUUACGGAGAUACUCUGUCAAAAUCUCAUUUUAAAAUUGGAUUUAGGAUUUUGAGAAUGGUUCCUACACUUCCUUUGUAAAUUAUUUUUUGUUAAAUAUAACAAACUGUAUCAUUAAUUUUGUUGCUGCCUGGCUUGUUUGGCAAAUGAAUGUCGGAGCCGUUGCAUUCAACAUUUUCAGCAUACCGUCACAUCUUAACGUUAAAUUACUCGACGUGGAGGUACGUGUUGCAGUGGUUGCAGUGCACUCUUUUAGUUUUGUAAAUUAAGGGUUAUUACCUUUUUAUUGUUGUUGAUGCGGUGUAACGUGUUUAUUAAUGAGCGUGUCGUAAAGCAUCAGGAAUAUUAUUGUUUCUGAGGUGAUAUUGAGCAGCUGUGAUAACGUUAAAUCUGAAUUGCGGUACAACUGUGUUUAGAGCCCUUAUUCCUUCAACAGGAGCAGGCAGAGUAAUUGUAAAGAAAAGAAGACACCAUUAACGUUACGACUUUUUAUUUAAAAGAGAUUAUAUGAGCAGAAGAUCUGACAUCACGGAGUUCUUCAAGGAUAACACACCUUUUCUGCCAAACGAGGUCAUAAUUGCUGCUGUACUUUGCAUCCCAAGCCCCCCCUGCAUUCUUAUCACGGGGCAAUCAUUCAGCUCUGAACAUCCUGAACAAAAGCAGAUGACAGAAUUAAAUAGUGGGGUUAAAUAGAUGAGUAGAAAUGGAGGAAAAGUGGAGAAACUGAGAUAAAUGGUUCCGUAUGAAUUCGCACGCUUGUAAAGCUCAGGAAAUGUGGAUUUCAAAUGCCGUUGCCUAGCGUCCAUCUGGGAAAUCUCUGCUCUCUCCCCAACAAAAUGGACGAACUUCUUCUGCUCUCCUGGACAAAUAAGGAUUUCUCACACUCUGCUGCUCUGUGUUUCACGGAAAUCUGGCUGGAUAACGCCAUUCUGGACAGUGCACUCCAUCUGUCUGGCUUCCAGCUGUUUAAAGCAGAUCACGACAGGACAUGCUUUUACAUCAGUGAAAGGUGGUGUGCAGAUGUAACUGUGUUAAAGAAGAUGUGCUCUCUGAUCACUGCCUGGUUCAUCUUAUACCAACCUACAAGCAAAAACGUAAUUCUGCUAAACCUGUUGAAAAGACUGUAAAGAUAUGGACCAAUGAAACAGAGUGGGCUUUAAAAGCUUGUUUUGACCACUGAUUUGAGUGUAUUUGAAGUUGCUUCCACCGAUCUUGACAAACUCACAGAGAUUGUAACAUCCUAUAGUUUCUGUUAGGAUAUAUACAUUCCUACCAGGACCUCUUUAACAUUCAACAAUGAUUAGCCAUGGUUUACAGCAAAACUCAGACAUCUUCGUCAGGCCAAAGAGGAUGCCUAUGGGCACAGAGUCUUGUAUAAAGAGGCCAGGAACACACUGAAUAAAGAGAUUAGAGCGGCUAAAAGAACCUACGCUAAAAGGUUGGAAGAUCAGUUCACUUCCAAUGAAUCAACUUCGGUAUGGAAAGGUCUGAAAUAUAUCACAAACUACAAGACACCAUCCCUCUGCACUGAGGCGAAUCAACAACUUGCUGACGACCUGAAUGAGUUUUAAUGUAAAUUUGAAACCCCCCCACACCCGUUCUGACCAUCUCUCUACACAACAAUUAACGCCUCCUAAACUCCCCUUUCCUGCGCUUCAAAUCAGUGAGGAUGAUGUGUGCCAGGCCUUCAGGAAGAACAAAAGAAGAAAAGCACCAGACCCAGAUUGUGUUACACCAGCCUGUCUGAAAAUCUGUGCUGACCAGCUGGCCCCCAUCUUUUCACCG